rnacentral:tRNA from 1 species
GGGGUUGUGGCUCAGCGGUAGAGUGCUCCUCUAGCACAAGUGAGGCCCUGAGUUCAAUCCUCAGCACCACA